CUUCAAUGAAGAUCCUGGGAAUAGUAACACUCUGCAGUGCAUUAAUCAUCCUUGAGUGCUGGUUAAGAUUCUCUAAGAAACUAAUAAAGGACACAGAGGAAGCAGAUUUCGUCAACAGAGUGAUGGAGGUUCAGGAAUCAUGAGCCACAUGGAGAACAUGAAGAACAUGAAGAACAUUAAGUUCACUCUCAGGGACAGGAUGUUUUAUUUCUUCUGCCUUAUCUCUACCUAUACAUCUGUUAUUUUAAAUAGUUUCUUUAAGAUGUUUUUUCAUAGUUUUGGAGGUAUUUACAUUAUUUACAAAAAUUCUUCUUAGAAAGAAAACAAAUAAUACGUCUUCUACGUUGCGUCUACUGCAUAAACGAAACAGAAAUACAUGGUAUGCAAAAUAAGCAGCAGAGAUCUUUGAACUUGUUUGAUUCUCACUACUUAACACAAUCUGACGAGGUUUUAAAUAAACACCUGUUACAAUCCUACAACCUUUUAAUGCUGAUGUGAAGCUGGACACAAAAUGAAGCCUACAACCCCUGAAGCAGAAUGUUUAUGAGAACAUAUACAGAACCUAAGGUGCGAAGUAUAUAAACACCAGGAAAAAUACUGGAAUGUUACUGGAAUGCCACUUUUAAACCAUCCCAGACAAUACUGCCACAUUCUAGAUGAUAGCACUGGUGUAGAGCGACUACAACAAAUUGAGUAAGGAUCACAAUUCCUCAUCACAAUCUAAGAAACCCUGGAGUCUUGGUUCAAUUACAUGUUAAUAUCUAAAGGUGUAAAGUUCAAUAAUCCUUGAUCUUGUUUAGGUAGAGUUUACAUGCUUCCUUGUCGAGAGUGGCUUCGUGUACUGUGUUCAUAAUUGUGCAGAACAGAUGGUAAUGUGGCAAGUUUAAAGCCUUUUUUUGUUGCUUUCUGGACUUCCUUUUUUUUGCAUCCUGUCUGGCAGUGUAGCUCUAAGUCUGUCAUAAUGCUAAAUAGAGCCCAAUGAUUUACUUUAUCAAGUGGAUCAUUACUGCUUUCACUAUAUUGCUCCACUUGAUAUAUAUGCAAAAAACUUUAUUGGAUAUUAUUUUCAGACUAUUUCACAUUCAAUGGACUCGGAAACGGGAAGGUAAAAGAGAAAGAAAAGAAAAGAAAGUUUUGUUUAAUGUAUUUAGUGACAGCCAAAGCUAAUUAUUGGGUUUAUCUGUUUAGAGAGAGAUGGAUCUGUAAGCACUUGAAAACUCUGUUACCUGGCUCUGCCGGCUGUAACGCUACGCCAGAAUAGAUCCAGCAAUGGGCCCAGGGGCCCCCUGCCCCCCAGCAGGGCCCCAACAGAAAGUCUCUUCAUUGCAUUACCUGCUAUUCUGUUUCUGUGUGUUUACUUUUUGUAAGAUACUUUUUCUACAACAUGCCAUCUGAACUGUUAGAGAUGAUGAGGUUACAGAGACUGGACUGCAAUAUCGGUUACCCUGAAAAUGACAGAUAAACAGAUUGUGGAGGCACAGAGUCUGACAUACUUAGAUUGGAAAGAAUGAUUGAUUAGAGGAAAAUGUGUCAGCAAGGACAUGUCUGCAUUAUAGCAUGAUCCUCUCCACCAAUGUGAUGAACAGAACACUGAUAUCAUACUGGGCACGCCCUUGAAUGGGUGUACUGUACACAAUGGGUCCUACUUAAUGUCUGUGUGAGGAAUGAAUGAGGUGCUCUGGCAUCCGGAAAACUGCCCGUCGCAUUGUUGUCUAUGAGAGUCCAGAACCGAAGCUAUAAACAUCCCUCUGCCUUUCAGAUUAAAUAUGGUAAAAUAUAA